GACGAACGCUGGCGGCGUGCUUAACACAUGCAAGUCGAACGGUAAGGCCCUUCGGGGUACACGAGUGGCGAACGGGUGAGUAACACGUGGGUGAUCUGCCCUGCACUUCGGGACAAGCCUGGGAAACUGGGUCUAAUACCGGAUAGGACCACUGCCUGCAUGGGUGGUGGUGGAAAGCUUUUGCGGUGUGGGAUGGGCCCGCGGCCUAUCAGCUUGUGGGUGGGGUGAUGGCCUACCAAGGCGACGACGGGUAGCCGGCCUGAGGGGGUGACCGGCCACACUGGGACUGAGAUACGGCCCUGACUCCUACGGGAGGCAGCAGUGGGGAAUAUUGCACGAUGGGCGCAAGCCUGAUGCAGCGACGCCGCGUGAGGGAUGACGGCCUUCGGGUUGUAAACCUCUUUCAGCACCGACGAAGCGCAAGUGACAGUAGGUGCAGAAGAAGGACCGGCCAACUACGUGCCAGCCGCCGCGGUAA
rnacentral:rRNA from 1 species